CCUACGGGAGGCAGCAGUGAGGAAUAUUGGUCAAUGGACGAGAGUCUGAACCAGCCAAGUAGUGUGAAGGAUGACUGCCCUAUGGGUUGUAAACUUCUUUUAUAAAGGAAUAAAACGAGGCACGUGUGCCUUUUUGCAUGUACUUUAUGAAUAAGGAUCGGCUAACUCCGUGCCAGCAGCCGCGGUAAUACGGAGGAUCCGAGCGUUAUCCGGAUUUAUUGGGUUUAAAGGGAGCGUAGAUGGGUUGUUAAGUCAGUUGUGAAAGUUUGCGGCUCAACCGUAAAAUUGCAAUUGAUACUGGCAGUCGUGAGUACAGUUGAGGUAGGCGGAAUUCGUGGGGUAGCGGUGAAAUGCUUAGAUAUCACGAAGAACCCCGAUUGCGAAGGCAGCUUACUAAACUGUGACUGACAUUGAUGCUCGAAAGUGUGGGCAUCAAACAGGAUUAGAUACCCCUGUAGUC
rnacentral:rRNA from 1 species